GAUGAACGCUGGCGGCGUGCCUAAUACAUGCAAGUCGAGCGAACAGACGAGGAGCUUGCUCCUUUGACGUUAGCGGCGGACGGGUGAGUAACACGUGGAUAACCUACCUAUAAGACUGGGAUAACUUCGGGAAACCGGAGCUAAUACCGGAUAACAUGUUGAACCGCAUGGUUCAACAGUGAAAGACGGUCUUGCUGUCACUUAUAGAUGGAUCCGCGCCGCAUUAGCUAGUUGGUAAGGUAACGGCUUACCAAGGCAACGAUGCGUAGCCGACCUGAGAGGGUGAGCAGCCACACUGGAACGGAGACACGGUCCAGACUCCUACGGGAGGCAGCAGUAGGGAAUCUUCCGCAAUGGGCGAAAGUCUGACGGAGCAACGCCGCGUGAGUGAAGAAGGUCUUCGGAUCGUAAAACUCUGUUAUUAGGGAAGAACAAAUGUGUAAGUAACUAUGCACUUCUUGACGGUACCUAAUCAGAAAGCCACGGCUAACUACGUG
rnacentral:rRNA from 1 species